rnacentral:rRNA from 1 species
UGAGGAAUAUUGGACAAUGGGCGCAAGCCUGAUCCAGCCAUGCCGCGUGCAGGAUGACGGUCCUAUGGAUUGUAAACUGCUUUUUGUACAGGAAGAAACAGUUCUACGUGUAGAACCUUGACGGUACUGUAAGAAUAAGGAUCGGCUAACUCCGUGCCAGCAGCCGCGGUAAUACGGAGGAUCCAAGCGUUAUCCGGAAUCAUUGGGUUUAAAGGGUCCGUAGGCGGUUAGAUAAGUCAGUGGUGAAAGCCCAUCGCUCAACGGUGGAACGGCCAUUGAUACUGUCUGACUUGAAUUAUUAGGAAGUAACUAGAAUAUGUAGUGUAGCGGUGAAAUGCUUAGAGAUUACAUGGAAUACCAAUUGCGAAGGCAGGUUACUACUAAUGGAUUGACGCUGAUGGACGAAAGCGUGGGUAGCGAACAGGAUUAGAUACCCCGGUAGUCCCUGAGCGGGCUGGCAAGGCG